rnacentral:rRNA from 1 species
AUUGAACUCUGGCGGCAGGCCUAACACAUGCAAGUCGAGCGGAGCGGCGGACGGGUGAGUAAUGCCUCGGAAUCUGCCUGGUAGUGGGGGAUAACGUCCGGAAACGGGCGCUAAUACCGCAUACUAUCAGAUGAGCCUCGGUCGGAUGAGCUAGUUGGUGGGGUAAAGGCCUACCAAGGCGACGAUCCGUAACUGGUCUGAGAGGAUGAUCAGUAAAACGGGAACUGUGAACCGGUCCUGACUCCUACGGGAGGCAGAAGGGGGGAAUGUUGGACAGUGGGCGAAGGCCUGAUCCAGCCAUGCCGCGUGUGUUAAGAAGGUCGUCGGAUUGUAAAGCACUUUAAGUUGGGAGGCGUUACCAACAGAGUAAGCACCGGCUAACUUCGUGCCAGCAGCCGCGGUAAUAG